UUUCCGUAGGUGAACCUGCGGAAGGAUCAUUACUGAGUGAGGGCCCUCUGGGUCCAACCUCCCACCCGUGUUUAUUGUACCUUGUUGCUUCGGUGCGCCCGCCUCACGGCCGCCGGGGGGCUUCUGCCGCCGGGUCCGCGCGCACCGGAGACACUAUUGAACUCUGUCUGAAGAUUGCAGUCUGAGCAUAAACUAAAUAAGUUAAAACUUUCAACAACGGAUCUCUUGGUUCCGGCAUCGAUGAAGAACGCAGCGAAAUGCGAUAACUAAUGUGAAUUGCAGAAUUCAGUGAAUCAUCGAGUCUUUGAACGCACAUUGCGCCCCCUGGUAUUCCGGGGGGCAUGCCUGUCCGAGCGUCAUUGCUGCCCUCAAGCACGGCUUGUGUGUUGGGCUCCGUCCCCCCGGGGACGGGUCCGAAAGGCAGCGGCGGCACCGAGUCCGGUCCUCGAGCGUAUGGGGCUUUGUCACCCGCUCUGUAGGCCCGGCCGGCGCCAGCCGACAACCAAUCAUCCUUUUUUCAGGUUGACCUCGGAUCAGGUAGGGAUACCCGCUGAACUUAAGCAUAUCAAUAAGCGG
rnacentral:rRNA from 1 species